UAAGGAAUUUUCCGCAAUGGGCGAAAGCCUGACGGAGCGACACCGCGUGGAGGAUGAAGGCUUUCGGGUCGUAAACUCCUUUUUUAUAGGAUGACAAUUUGGACAGUACUAUAAGAAUAAGUACCGGCUAACUACGUGCCAGCAGCCGCGGUAAUACGUAGGGUACGAGCGUUAUCCGGAAUCACUGGGCUUAGAGCGCGUGUAGGUGGUAGUGUAAGUUCAUAAUGAAAUCCCACGGCUUAACCGUGGUCCCGUUAUGAAUACUGCAUUGCUAGAGGAUAGACGGGGAAAAUGGAAUUCCCGGUGUAGAGGUAAAAUUCGUUGAUAUCGGGAGGAACACCAGAGGCGAAAGCGAUUUUCUAGACUAUCUCUGACACUAAGACGCGAAAGCUAGGGGAGCGAAAGGG
rnacentral:rRNA from 1 species